GACGAACGCUGGCGGCGUGCUUAACACAUGCAAGUCGAACGCUGAAGGUGGAGCUUGCUCCGCCGGAUCAGUGGCGAACGGGUGAGUAACACGUAGGACACCUGCCCCUCACUUCGGGAUAACUCCGGGAAACCGGGGCUAAUACCGGAUACGACCUCCUUGGGCAUCCUUGGAGGUGGGAAGUUUUGCGGUGAGGGAUGGGCCCGCGGCCUAUCAGCUUGUUGGUGGGGUAGUGCCUCACCAAGGCGACGACGGGUAGCCGGCCUGAGAGGGCGACCGGCCACACUGGGACUGAGACACGGCCCAGACUCCUACGGGAGGCAGCAGUGGGGAAUAUUGCGCAAUGGGCGAAAGCCUGACGCAGCAACGCCGCGUGCGGGAUGAAGGCCUUCGGGUUGUAAACCGCUUUCAGCAGGGAAGAAGCCGCAAGGUGACGGUACCUGCAGAAGAAGCACCGGCUAACUACGUGCCAGCCGCCGCGGUAA
rnacentral:rRNA from 1 species